rnacentral:rRNA from 1 species
CUUAAUUAUUAUACUAAAUUAAUAACAUAUAUAAAUUAAUAAAACCUAAAAUCACUAACCAAACCAUUUUUCCACCUAAGUACGGGAGACGAAAAAGGUCCUAUAAGCAAUAGAAAAAGUACCGCAAGGGAAAGCUGAAAGAGCAAUGAAAUAAGUCAUACAAGCACAAAAAAGCAGAGACUAGCACUC